CCAAGCAAGAAAGAGCGCAGGGCGGAUGCCUUGGCACUAAGAGCCGAUGAAAGACGUGAUAAGCUGCGAUAAGCUUCGGGGAGGAGCAAAUAUCCAAUGAUCCGGAGAUUUCUGAAUGGGGAAACCCACAUGAGAAGACCUCAUGUAUCCAUACGCCAAUCCAUAACGUAUGGAGGGGAACCCGGUGAACUGAAACAUCUAAGUAGCCGGAGGAGAAGAAAGAAACCUCGAUUUCCUAAGUAGCGGCGAGCGAACGGGAAAGAGCCCAAACCAGCGUGCGUGCAUGCUGGGGUUCGGACUGCGGAAUUGAUUCGUCAAGGGUAAUGGAACGGUUUUGGGAAAGCCGGCCAGAGAGGGUGAAAGCCCCGUACAUGAAACCAGAGACGACAUGGCAGUAUCCAGAGUACCACGAGACACGGGAAACCUUGUGGGAAUAAGCGGGGACCACCCCGUAAGGCUAAAUACUCCUUAGUGACCGAUAGUGCAUAGUACUGUGAAGGAAAGGUGAAAAGGACCCCGGGAGGGGAGUGAAAGAGAACCUGAAACCCUGUGUUUACAAGCUGUGGAACACCAUUAUUAGGUGAACCGCGUACUUUUUGUAGAACGGUCCGGCGAGUUGUGCAUACUGGCAAGGUUAAGCACCAAAGGUGCGGAGCCGUAGGGAAACCAAGUCUUAACAGGGCCAGAGUCAGUAUGUGCAGACCCGAAACCGGGUGAUCUAUCCAUGUCCAGGUUGAAGCUGCCGUAAAAGGCAAUGGAGGACCGAACGCACAUCCGUUGAAAAGGGUGGCGAUGAGGUGUGGAUAGGGGAGAAAUUCCAAUCGAACCCGGAGAUAGCUGGUUCUCCUCGAAAUAGCUUUAGGGCUAGCCUCGGUGUGAGUCUUGCGGAGGUAGAGCACUGAAUUUCCUAGGGGGCGUCAAAGCCUACCGAAGAAUAUCAAACUCCGAAUGCCGUGUAGAUAUCACCGGGAGUCAGACUGCACGAGAUAAGUUGGGCGGUCAAAAGGGAAAGAGCCCAGACCUACAGUUAAGGUCCCAAAGUGCGCGUUAAGUGGAAAAGGAUGUGGGAUUUCGAAGACAACCAGGAUGUUGGCUCAGAAGCAGCCAUACAUUCAAAGAGUGCGUAAUAGCUCACUGGUCGAGAGGUCCUGCGCCGAAAAUGUCCGGGGCUGAAACGCGCCACCGAAACUAAGGAAUCCGUAAGGAUUGGUAGAGGAGCAUUGCAUAUGGGAAGAAGCAGUACCGUAAGGAGCUGUGGACUAUAUGGAAGAGAGAAUGCCGGAAUGAGUAGCGAGAUAGAGGUGGGAAUCCUCUAGGCCGAAUAUCCAAGGUUUCCAGGGUAAAGCUGAUCUGCCCUGGGUGAGUCGGGACCUAAGGUGAGGGCGAGAGCCGUAGCCGAUGGACAACAGGUUGAUAUUCCUGUACUGCAGUAUAACAGAACUGUGGGGACACGUAAGGAGAGCGGGAGCCGGGAAUGGAAAGCCCGGUACAAGCGAGGUACCAGUAUGGUAGGAAAAUCCGCCAUGCAAUGGGAAGACGUGAUGUGGAGCGAAGAUUAGUAGCGAAGCCCGUGAGCCAUGCGUCAAGAAAAGCCGCUAUCGUUCAUAUUGUACCCGUACCGUAAACCGACACAGGUGGAUGAGGAGAGAAUCCUAAGGCCGGCGGAAGAAGUAUUGCCAAGGAACUCGGCAAAAUGGCCCCGUAACUUAGGGAGAAGGGGUGCCUGCGAGAGCAGGCCGCAGAGAAUAGGCUCAAGCAACUGUUUAGCAAAAACACAGGUCUAUGCGAAACCGAAAGGUGAGGUAUAUGGGCUGACGCCUGCCCGGUGCUGGAAGGUUAAGAGGAGAGGUUAGCGCAAGCGAAGCUUUGAAUUUAAGCCCCAGUAAACGGCGGCCGUAACUAUAACGGUCCUAAGGUAGCGAAAUUCCUUGUCGGGUAAGUUCCGACCC
rnacentral:rRNA from 1 species